UUCUGAGUAACUAUGUUCUGCAGGAGGGUUAUUUUGUAGUCAUUCUGUUGAUCUUCUUAUGUUAGCUCUAAAUAUAAUUGCUCGGUUUGUAAUCAUUCUUUCUCAUAUAAUUACAAUGAAUAUAAUGAUUCCUACAAUAGAAAUUGUAGACCCAAUUCUUGAUACUACGUUUCAUGAUGUAUAUGCGUCUGGGUAGUCAGAGUAUCGUCGAGGUAUUCCUGCUAAUCCUAGGAAGUGUUGAGGAAAGAAUGUUAAAUUUACUCCAAUGAAUAUAAUUGUAAAUUGGAUUUUUAAUCAUGUAUUAUUUAUAGUUAAUCCUGUAAAUAGUGGAUAUCAUUGAAUGACACCUCCUAUAAUUGCAAAUACUGCUCCUAUAGAUAAUACAUAAUGAAAGUGGGCUACUACAUAAUAUGUAUCAAGUAAUACAAUAUCAAGUGAUGAAUUUGCUAAUACUAAUCCUGUUAAUCCACCAAUUGUAAAUAGGAAAAUAAAUCCUAGAGCUCAUAAUAAUGGUGGAUUGAACUUGAAUUUAGUUCCAUAUAAUGUAGCUAAUCAUCUAAAUACCUUAAUUCCUGUAGGUACAGCAAUAAUUAUUGUUGCUGAUGUAAAAUAUGCUCGUGUGUCAACAUCCAUUCCUACUGUAAAUAUAUGAUGUGCUCAUACAAUAAAUCCUAUUAGUCCAGUUGAUAGUAUAGCAUAAAUUAUACCUAAUGUUCCAAAUGAUUCAAUUUUUCCUCUUUCUUGACAUACAAUAUGUGAAAUAAUUCCGAACCCCGGUAGAAUUAAAAUAUAAACUUCUGGGUGUCCAAAGAAUCAAAAUAGAUGUUGAUAUAUAAUUGGGUCACCCCCUCCUGCAGGGUCAAAGAAUGAUGUAUUUGAAUUUCGAUCUGUUAAUAAUAUAGUAAUAGCUCCUGCUAAAACUGGAAGUGAAAGAAGGAGAAGUAAUGCUGUAAUAGCUACAGAUCAUACAAAUAAAGGUGUUUGAUCUAAAGUUAUACUUUCUGAUCGUAUAUUAAUUGCUGUUGUAAUGAAAUUCACUGCACCAAGAAUAGAUGAUACACCUGCUAAGUGCAGUGAAAAAAUAGCUAGAUCUACAGAUGCACCCCCGUGUGCAAUAGCUCCAGCUAGAGGAGGGUAAACUGUUCAUCCUGUACCAGCACCAUUAUCUACUAUAGAAGAUGUAAGAAGAAGGGUUAGUGAAGGUGGUAGUAAUCAAAAACUUAUAUUAUUUAUUCGUGGAAAUGCUAUAUCUGGUGCACC